rnacentral:misc_RNA from 1 species
UCUCCGUUGGUGAACCAGCGGAGGGAUCAUUACAGGACUCGCAAGACUCCUUCACCCUGUGAACCUCACUACAAGCACGUUGCUUCGGCGGGUGUCCCGGCGGGGGUUUUCCCUCGCCGGGGCGCACAGCCCGCCGGCAGCCUACUAUACUCUGUCUCUUUGCGUUGGCAUCUCGAGAAAAAGCAAACAAGUUAAAACUUUCAACAACGGAUCUCUUGGUUCUG